GUUGGCCGGAUGGCCGCUCUGCGCGGGGGAUUUGUAUUUUCGUACCUUGGCGCGGGGAGGAAAGUCCGGGCUCCAUGGAAGCACGGUGCCGGAUAACGUCCGGCGGGGGCGACCCCAGGGAAAGUGCCACAGAAAGCAAACCGCCUCUCAUUCGGGCCGCAAGGCUAAGAACAAGAGGUAAGGGUGAAAGGGUGCGGUAAGAGCGCACCGCGCGGCUGGCAACAGGCGCGGCACGGCAAACCCCACCGGGAGCAAGACCGAAUAGGGAUGACGCGGGCUCAUCAGCCCAGGCCCGUUUCCAGGCUUGAUCAUCCGGGUUGGUCGCACGAGGCGUAUCGCAAGAUGCGUCCCAGAUGAAUGGUCAUCCAUUCUGCUUAACGCGGAGGGACAGAACCCGGCUUACAGGCGAACUG
rnacentral:RNase_P_RNA from 1 species